rnacentral:rRNA from 1 species
GAUGAACGCUGGCGGCGUGCCUAAUACACGCAAGUCGAGCGAACGGACGAGAAGCUUGCUUCUCUGAUGUUAGCGGCGGACGGGUGAGUAACACGUGGAUAACCUACCUAUAAGACUGGGAUAACUUCGGGAAACCGGGGCUAAUACCGGAUAAUAUUUUGAACCGCAUGGUUCAAAAGUGAAAGACGGUCUUGCUGUCACUUAUAGAUGGAUCCGCGCUGCAUUAGCUAGUUGGUAAGGUAACGGCUUACCAAGGCAACGAUGCAUAGCCGACCUGAGAGGGUGAUCGGCCACACUGGAACUGAGACACGGUCCAGACUCCUACGGGAGGCAGCAGUAGGGAAUCUUCCGCAAUGGGCGAAAGCCUGACGGAGCAACGCCGCGUGAGUGAUGAAGGUCUUCGGAUCGUAAAACUCUGUUAUUAGGGAAGAACAUAUGUGUAAGUAACUGUGCACAUCUUGACGGUACCUAAUCAGAAAGCCACGGCUAACUACGUG